GGGCUUCGCCGUGGUGCACCCGAUCCCGGAAUCGUGCGUCUGCGCCCUGCGAAAGAAGGACCUGCUGGCGGAGCUCCGGCCGGGGUCUCCUGCCUCGCAGCUGGGCGAGGGGACUUGGAGGACAGGGUGAAGCUGCAGAAGACCUGGGGUGGGAUGGCUAGAGAGGACGCCAAGGACUGGGGAAGGGGAAGUUAGGAAUACCUUACAUCCAAUGCCCACCCGUGCUCCGCAGGGCAAGGGCAGCCGUCGCCUCGGCCGCGUGCACCCAGCUCAGGCUGUUCCCAGGGAUUUAGUCUGGGGGGACAACCCAUGGCGAGAUGUGGUGGCAUUUUACCUCAGAGUGGAGCUGAAGAUGGAUAAACAAGUUGGAAAACUUUAAUAUGAGAUUGAAGAUAUGAUUUGCUUUCUGGAUUGUUGUAUGCUACUAAAACCGAAGAAAGAGAAGGAAAAAUGGAUGAAUCGACGGACCAUAUCACCCUGGCACCUAUAUCAGCUCAAAAACUGAAGGAAAUACCCCUUUCCUGCCCUCUCUUUGACUAAUGCUAUAGACUCUGAGUCAGUAGUUCCUGGUGGGACCUGAGAGUCCACAUUCCUGAUGAGCUCCAGGUGUUCCCAUGCUGCUGCCCCUCUGACCACACUUAGAAUAAGAAGGCUUGAAAUGAAAUCUGAGAAAUCAGCCUCUUGAUUCCAAUUUUAAACAUGCAAUUGAUUCUUGUAAUUUUUCAUUCUUGUCAAAAUGCAUACCAGUAAGUUUGUAAUCAGUAUUGGCAUGCUUAAAAGAAUUUAAGACUUGUUAUAUUUGUCAUUUUAAUUUAUUUAAACUUUAAAGAUUUGUUCAGAACUUGGAAAGAUUUUGCUUAAGCUCAUAAAUUUACCCACUCAGGCAUAUGAGAUAGGGUACUUUGAUUUAUAAAUGAAGUUUAAAAUUAAGGGAAUUUAAUUAAGUUUUCAAAAUGAGAUUGGUUGUUUUAAGGGGAAUUUACUUUGUGUAACUUGAGUUCAUCAAACGCUAAUCCAAGUUCCCUGCAAAACCUGUUCUGUUUUAUAUAACAUUUACUCGUUUUAGAAAUAGAUGAGAUUUGCAAAUUGAACCUAAAGACUUAAGGCAAAUUAUGUAUCUUUUUAUACUUUAAUAAAGAAAAAUAAAAUAAAUUUGAAACACAAAUAACUCUAACUGGCCCUUUUUAUGUAAAAAGAAGUCCUUGAAUAAAAUUUACCUUGACAGCACUAGCAA
rnacentral:lncRNA from 1 species